rnacentral:rRNA from 1 species
AUUGAACGCUGGCGGCAUGCCUUACACAUGCAAAUCGAACGGUAACGGGCCUUCGGGUGCCGACGAGUGGCGAACGGGUGAGUAAUACAUCGGAACGUGCCCGAUCGUGGGGGAUAACGAGGCGAAAGCUUUGCUAAUACCGCAUACGAUCUACGGAUGAAAGCAGGGGACCGCAAGGCCUUGCGCGGACGGAGCGGCCGAUGGCAGAUUAGGUAGUUGGUGGGAUAAAAGCCUACCAAGCCGACGAUCUGUAGCUGGUCUGAGAGGAUGAUCAGCCACACUGGGACUGAGACACGGCCCAGACUCCUACGGGAGGCAGCAGUGGGGAAUUUUGGACAAUGGGCGCAAGCCUGAUCCAGCCAUGCCGCGUGCAGGAUGAAGGCCUUCGGGUUGUAAACUGAUUUUGUACGGAACGAAAAGCCUUCUUUUAAUACAGGAGGGUCAUGACGGUACCGUAAGAAUAAGCACCGGCUAACUACGUG